rnacentral:rRNA from 1 species
CAUACGGGCGGCAGCAGUGGGGAAUAUUGGACAAUGGGCGAAAGCCUGAUCCAGCCAUGCCGCGUGUGUGAAGAAGGCCUUCGGGUUGUAAAGCACUUUCAGUGGGGAAGAAAGCCUUGGGGCUAAUACCCUCGAGGAAGGACAUCACCCACAGAAGAAGCACCGGCUAACUCCGUGCCAGCAGCCGCGGUAAUACGGAGGGUGCGAGCGUUAAUCGGAAUUACUGGGCGUAAAGCGCGCGUAGGCGGUCUGAUAAGCCGGUUGUGAAAGCCCCGGGCUCAACCUGGGAACGGCAUCCGGAACUGUCAGGCUAGAGUGCAGGAGAGGAAGGUAGAAUUCCCGGUGUAGCGGUGAAAUGCGUAGAGAUCGGGAGGAAUACCAGUGGCGAAGGCGGCCUUCUGGACUGACACUGACGCUGAGGUGCGAAAGCGUGGGUAGCAAACAGGAUUAGAUACCCGAGUAGUC